CUACCCCAGGAGGCUCCGAAAAGUUGAAUAAUUGCUAAUAGGCAUGAAGUCAGCAAAAAUCUUCAAUAACUGGAGGAAAGGUAUGAGGUGUGCUAGCUUUGUGGAUUACCACCUAGCCCCCAUCUUUGCGCAAACAUGGAUUGGAAUAAAAUACCUCUGCUCUG